CUUGAUAUUUUUUUCUAUAAACUUAGUCAAAGUUAACAAAGUUUGACUUUGACCAAAUUUUAUAUGCAGACUAAAAAGAAUGGAGGGAGUAUGUGUUGUGUUGUUCUCACUGGGCUGGCACAGUUACAGCCAAAGGCUAUGUUUACAAAAAGAAAUUAAUGAUUCAAAGAAGAGGAGCAGAGGGUGUACGAUAUUUACCUCAAGGUCGUGCAAGCAUCGCCUCCUCCCGGUCUUCGGCACUCCUGGAGGAAUUGAGCGCCAGUGUGGUCGAGCCACAUAGAACACCAACAAGUGACAACACACCAUCCCAGUCUGGGGAAUGACAAGAACGUGGCUUGGUUUACAUGAUGUUCAUACUACGGAUUGUGGAGGCAUGGUUUCCGUCAAGGAGUGGUGGCGCAGCAACGCUUCCGGGAGGUCGCAAUCUCGAACGGCCCUUGUUUUCCUUAUGCUUCUUAUCUAUUGGGAAAUCUAGAACGAGCGAAAUGCUCGGGUGUUCCGCAACAACGCGAUUCCGUCCGGUGUGCUUGUGACACACAUAGAAGCGGAGGCAUCGUUGUGGUGCCUUGCCGAGCGAAAUAUCUGUGUAAUAAUGCUGCGAGAGCGAUGCUUGUAAUUUGGCCUUUGACCUAGAUUCUUAAAACCUUCUUAUUAUUAAACGAAAUGCCAAGCAUUUU